AGCAGCAUGGCGCAGUGGUAGCGCGCGGGGCCCAUAUGAGCCUUGCGUAUAGAAUCAUUAACCCCGAGGUCACUUGAUCGAAACAAGUUGCUGCUA